AUUGAAGAAGCUUGCUUCUGAUUGAUAACAUUUGAGUGAGUGGCGGACGGGUGAGUAACACGUGGGUAACCUGCCCUAAAGUGGGGGAUAACAUUUGGAAACAGAUGCUAAUACCGCAUAAAACCUAGCACCGCAUGGUGCAAGGUUGAAAGAUGGUUUCGGCUAUCACUUUAGGAUGGACCCGCGGUGCAUUAGUUAGUUGGUGAGGUAAAGGCUCACCAAGACCGUGAUGCAUAGCCGACCUGAGAGGGUAAUCGGCCACACUGGGACUGAGACACGGCCCAGACUCCUACGGGAGGCAGCAGUAGGGAAUCUUCCACAAUGGACGAAAGUCUGAUGGAGCAACGCCGCGUGAGUGAAGAAGGUUUUCGGAUCGUAAAACUCUGUUGUUGGAGAAAAACGUAUUUGAUAGUAACUGAUCAGGUAGUGACGGUAUCCAACCAGAAAGCCACGGCUAACUACGUGCCAGCAGCCGCGGUAAUACGUAGGUGGCAAGCGUUGUCCGGAUUUAUUGGGCGUAAAGCGAGCGCAGGCGGUUUCUUAAGUCUGAUGUGAAAGCCUUCGGCUCAACCGAAGAAGUGCAUCGGAAACUGGGAAACUUGAGUGCAGGAGAGGACAGUGGAACUCCAUGGUUAGGGGG
rnacentral:rRNA from 1 species